rnacentral:lncRNA from 1 species
UCUUGCUUAUAAAAAUAAGCAUAAACUGUUGUACCUGCACUGAAUAGGAGAGGCACCACUAGGGAAAAUGCCAAGCUUCAGCCCUGGAAGCUAAACUGACUUGGACCCUUAUUAAAGCUCUUCUGAGCUCUAGUCACUGUCAUAUUUUGCACAAAUUAACCUACUUGCCUUUGCAAAGCUCAGGGUAGUGUGGCAAGUUCUUGAGGUAAAAAGUUACCAUCUGUGAAGUAAGCAGCUCUAAAAGGAGAUUGCUAGAGGAUCACUUCACAAAUGAUGGGUCAGGUUCACCCGUGUGCCUCGGGAGCUGUGAUUCACUCUAGUGACCCAGAGCAGCUGCAAGCCUGGCUUCUCAGGCAGUGAAAUUCUGUUUAUGUUCAAGCCAUUAGUGAAUCAGGUCAAUCAUCUAAGGUUGGAAAUGGUUCUUAGUUUGUGGGUUACUGGGAACACUUAGUCAAAAUUAAACAGAAAUUAAGAUGCCAUCUGUUCAUCAAACUCCUUUCUUUUGGGCAAUCAGCUCCCACUUUGACAUCACUGGCCUGGAAAAGCACAUAAAGAUGCUUUACAAUUUCUUGUCCUCAUGAAAUGGAAAUAACUACCUAGUUACUACAGUGUUGGUCUUGGUGUGUGUGUAUGGAUCAGAGGAAAAGAGAAUUUCGGUACAGGAUUCCUUGAAGUCCGCUUGGGUCAGGCUUGCAUUAGUUGUAUUUGGACAAGAGUAAGGUGCUUUGAAGUGCUGUGGCCUCUCAGCUGAUGGCUGCCUGGCAGUUUAAGUGGGAAGCUACUGGAGCGCGUUGUCGUUUUUUGUAACGCAGCUCUGAACCUGAAAGCCGCGAGAGAUUCUCUCUCGCUCUGAGUGACAGAAGCAGCUAGGGAGGAAGAACGUGGCCAUCUUUCAUUGCUCUCUGUUGCCCCCACCAUCUGCUGCAUGCUGCCUCCCUGCUUUCCCAUCUGUGGGUGGGGGACUCCAUCUCUCUGUAGCCGUGUCUCUGUUUCCAGCUGGCUACAGGAAGGCCCUGCUGAUGAGAAAGUACACACUGGGCCGAUUCCAGAGCACCGCAAAAACUUUUGGAGGGACCGCUUUGCCAGUUGGCUUGUUCUACAUUAUUAAACAGUGGGGAAAGGCAGCCUGAUGGUUGAUUCGGCGAGACCUAAUGAGGAAUUAGGACACAGCCGUGUAACUUUCAUUGUAGGAUAAAGGGUAGGUUUAAUACAAAUGAAAAUUUAAUGUCUUAUCUCAAAAGGCAUUGAAUAACUUUUAUAUCGUCAUGUUGUUUUUUCCAUAUAUGAGUAUUUUAGUUUAGAUAGAAAAAAACCUCUAUGUUAAUUUUUAGAUGUGUUAAUUUUCAAAUAGAGCACAUCGAUCUUGAAUUGCUCAAUAAAGUCAAUGCAACCAUUUCUGAUGACA